UCAAUUUCAUCUGGCUCUCCUCGGUAGAAGUAUUUUUGAGAUAGAGAGCUAAGAUCAGCUAAUUUGUCAGCAUUAUAAAGCAGUAUCUUGUCCUCAUAGUUCUUGUCUCUCACUGAAACUUUCCAGCAGCGGCCGCUGACAUAUGAACUUCACCAAUGAAGAUGCCACCACCGCACGGCUAUUUCUUGACUGCCCUGCUGAGGGUAAGAUAGUGGGAUAAUGCUUCUUUUCGGCCAUUUCUUUGUCAUUUCUAACAGGGUCAAACUCAAAUACCAAUAAAAGGAGAUGGAGAGCCAAUAUGCCACACCAUCAAAUUUAAAAGGCUAGGGGGAAAAAAAAGUCAAGAUCAUAAACGGUUGCCACAUUCAGUCUUUUUUAAUGCUAGUCUAUUAGUUUCAAUAAAAGAACAACAGAGUGUCCAUCGCGCUGUAACGCGACACGCCUAUCAUGUCAAUACGAUUAGUUUUUGUAAUGUGUUCAUGUACUGGUUACAGUUUAUAGAAAAAUUGAUUUCACAGAAUCAGAGAAAUUAGAAUUGGAAAUAUUCUAUUAGAUCACAAGACACAGCCCUAGAGGCUAGUGUAGAAUUGGUCCCUACUUACCAGUGUAUUUUCUGGUGUGGUUUUCUAUCAGGUUUUGAUGGGCUUAUAUAUUUAUUAUAGGCUGGGACUAUGUUCCACUAAAAAUUAUAGCAAUCCAUCUGAGAAAUAAAAUUCCAGAAAAAUAAGCAUUCGCUGAGUGCUAAUUUUACUUUGGUGGGUACAUUUUUAAUAUAGCAGUGUUUAUAGCCUCUCAGCUUACAAGAGGCAGGGUAACAGAAGUGGAUCAUGGGCUGGCAUUAUAAUCAAGUAGUAAAUUUACAUAUCUUAAGAGGAGAAAAUUUCCCCAGACCAAAUUUCCCAUCAGAUUUACACAAAAUGUGAUAAGAAAUUUUGAUCCCCCAAGAAUAGCUUAUUUUCUAUGUAGGAAAUUGAAGCCCGUGCCUCCUGAAAGUGUCUAUAAUCGCACACCUGAAGGGACUUCUUGCACUUUUUGGGCAGUGUGUACUGAGCUAGGACUCUGGGAGAUACAGUUGCAAGAGAGUGCAAGAGAGAGGGCAAACACAGCCCUGAACUUGGGGGCCGGGGUGGCUGUGGCCAGGGUCCAACCUCACAUCUCCGCUCUGCUUCCCUUUCUCACUCUGGUGUGACUGAGAGAGACGAGGAGCGAGGGCUGGGCUAGCCUGGGAAAUGUGAGCCCUGAGCAGGGUCUUGCUCCUCUCUCCUGCACAUAAGGGAAUGCAGUGGCUUUUCCAGGUGAAACAUACACACACUGGUCUACGUCCAACCAAUCCGACGGCUCCCAGGAUUUCCCAUGUCAGGACAGGUCAGCUUUCCUCCUCUUCAACAGUCUUUACAUCCUCCUCGCCUGGUUCCAUCCGUUAAUAAUGUCGGAGAAAGGACUACAGUGCGAUUUUCCUCAGCUCUCUCCAGAGUUUCUUAACCUUUUUUUUUUUCAUGGAGACAAAGCAGAAAUCUGUACGUAGUCUAAGCUUGUGGGUGGGAGGAGGGACUCAGGCCGUGUGUGGGAAAGGAUAGGGAGGAGGCAGAGAAGUGUAACGGUCUGCAGACAAUGCCCGACUCCGCUUGUCUCCAUCCUCACACCCCUGUCCGGAACACAGCCCUUGUUCUUCUGGACGGCAGCUGAUGAAGAUUAUGUCUGGCGAGCGAUCCAGGAAAAGCCUUCUACACCUGCAUGCUAAAUGAGCAAGAACGCCCAGGCUUAGAAGAAAUGGGGCCAGACAAUCAUGGAUUGGAACCUUUGAAGCCGUGAGCCAAGAUAAAACUCCCUACCUCAGAACCCUUGACAGCCAUGUGUCAGAGAAGCAGACCACCCGAAGCUUGGAACUGGCUUGGAUUUGAUCUCCAACUGUCUGCCAAGCUUCUGCAUGGCUCCCCAGACAAGCCUUAUGUUUGAGGCUCCUAGGACGACCUCUGGAUGGGAGGCAUUUUGUCACUGAUAUGCGAUCCCUGACAAGACAGGAGAAAAAGGCGAAAAGGACCAUGUAUCUCAGGGUUUCAGUCUAUCACAGUGGGGAACGGGCGUGAAGCGGGCCAAUAAAAUAUGGCUGGCAACCAAGGAACCAAUGCAGCAAGGUGAGCUCCCAAGGGUACCCUUUCUGUGGCUUCCUUUUUCCAACCAGGCCCAACCUCUUCUUUUCCUCAGCUUCCAAUAACACUGUCACACUAUAAAGCAAUUGGUGGAUUAGUCCAUUGAUUAACUCAAAACCUUCAGGAUCCCACCACUUGUCAAGGCCCACCCAUCAGCUAAUAACCAAGUUCCCUUCUAUUUGAACCACAGCCGUUGGUGAUAGACUCCAUCUUGGCUUUACUGGUUUCCGAAGGAAUCUUUGUUACAGCUUCUCCUGACGUCACUGGGCCUCCUCUAGGAACAGCUGCUGAACUGGUUCAAUGGAUCUGUGGUUGUGACAGAAGCAACGGAUGGAGAGAGAUGUUCAUUUUGGCUCGCAGUUCAGGAGUACAGUCUGUAAUUGUGGGCAGGGGUCAGACUCAGAGAACCAGGCUUGCUCCCUUACUGAGCCAUCUCACUGUCCCUAGGAAUUGAAUCCAGCAGAACCUGCUGAUACUUGGAGCUAAGCCAUCCACCUGGGAUGGCAGAGCAGGAAGAGGUGCGAUGGGGUAAGGUGGUAGCCAGGGCCCCAGGCUUUGGGCCCUGGAAGGUGACCCUCCAGCACAGCAGACACUCAUUCCCAAAUGUGUACCAGGUCCCUCUUUGCCAGCAAUCAUUAGGUUCAGAAAGCUCAGAGGGCCUGGUGCCCCCAACAAGUCAGCCGCCUCAGCCACCAUCUGCUCCUCAGAACUAGCAGAUCUCACAAGCAGCCUGUGGCUGAAACCAGUGCCAGAUUCUCCUGCCGUGGCUGUGGCUGUGGAGAGAGGCAGAGGGCGCUAACACGGGCCCUGGAUCAUGUUCUGGGGAGGUUGAUGCUGCCUGACCCUUUCCGGAAGGGCACAAGCAGUACUGGCAGAGCCCUCCCCACCUCUGGCUUGACCCUUGCUUAAUCUCAAACCUGGAGGUUGGUGUUCUAAUCCCACAGUGAUGCCCAGAGCUUGGGUAGAAAUGAUUGCAAGGUAAUAUGUUUUGCUUUCAGAGAGUAAAUUAAAACGAAGACUUCUGAUUUUAAGAAGCAAAACAUAAAACCUGAUUCCUAAAUAAACCCCCUUCCGUCCUGCCAUUAACACUGCUUCUUGUUUGUGAUAGGGGGCGGGCUCAACGGACCUGCCAAUCAACUACUGCUUUCAUUCCUGACAGACCUAGGGGAAGAGCAGAUCCCAUUUCUGUGCUAGCUAGAGAGCUAUGCAAUAGUGGCACAAGUCAGUGAAUACAAACUGUGCAGCCUCCUCCUCCCCCGUGCCUUUCCCAGCAGAGCCCAGUGCAUAACAAGUACUACACUAAUAAGUUCAUCAUGGGGUCAGUUCUGAACUGGGCUGACUCCUCGGCUCCCAGGCCUGGGAAAGCAAGAGAGACUUGUUCACUCACUGACCUCAGAUGAAAAUUUGAUAAACUGCUGAUGCCUUUGGUUAUUUAUGAGUUAUUACAUGCAUAUAAAUGAACAUAUUUUACUAGUUGUACAAAUUACAUUUUAUCGGUGUGAAACAUGCAUUUCAUUCCACAGGCUGCUGACCUGGCUAAAGAUGAAGUCUUUUUGAAUGCUAUUAGAGUUGGUGUUCGCGAGUACAUAUUUGACCCUUGAGGGUUCUCCUGAGAAUCCCAGGGUCUAUCACUGCAGACUGACCCAGCUCCAGUGAACAAACAGAAGUCUAGGGCAGGAAAGCCCCGCCCUCUCAAGCCCCGCCCU
rnacentral:sRNA from 1 species